rnacentral:rRNA from 1 species
UACGGAGGGUGCGAGUGUUAUUCGGAAUCACUGGGCGUAAAGAGCACGGAGGCGGAUUGGUAAGGCAGAUGUGAAAUCCCGGAGCUCAACUUCGGAACUGCAUUUGAUAGUGCUAGUCUUGAGUGAGGUAGAGGGGGGUGGAAUUCCCGGUGUAGAGGUGAAAUUCGUAGAUAUCGGGAGGAACACCAGAGGCGAAGGGGAGCCCCUGGGCCUCUACUGACGCUGAGGGGCGAAAGCGUGGGGCGCAAACAGG